CCACUUGAGCACACAGCAAGAAGGUAGCCACCUACAAGCCAAGAGAAGAAGCCUCAGAAUGAAACCAACCUGGAUAGCACUUUGCUCUUGGACUUCCCAGCCUCUGGAACUGGUGGCUGUCCACACCAGCUGUGCACCUCCUCUGGACCAUACUGGAAGAGCUGCUGCCUUGUUCAGGUGAUCUGCAGUGUGAGGAUGAAGACUUAAGAGUGAUUCGAAAGAGGGGACACAUCAAGACUCAGCCUUGAGGUCAUCUCUUCUCCCUGCUGAACUUGGAAACAGAGUGGAGAACUUAGCUGAGAAGCCUGCACAACUUUCAAAAGGAGAUAUGCAAAGAGAAACAGCAGGGUGAAACAUUGAGUUAGGGGCCCAGUGAGCUAUUGAACUAAGUGAAGAAGAAGAAAAGCUGAUUUCUUAAUUAAAAGCACAUUUUUAGAAGCCUUUAAAAUAUGAUACGAAUAUAUGUGUUUAUGGGCAUAUAUAUAAGUUUCUGUGUGUGUGUGUGUGUGUGUGUGUGUGUGCAUGUGCACAUAUAUGUGAAAUUUGUGAUAGAGGCAAGUUUUCUGAUCGAUGGAAAGAUAAAUUGCAGAGAGACCAGCAAUAAAUCAAGAGGUUCAACUCUGGCCCUAUUUAUAUUUUUGCUUACUAAGAAAAUUUCCCAUUACUAUUUUACAUCCUCAGCUAAAAGAUGCACAUUUUAGUUACAUUUUAGUGUCUCUAAAAUCAGGAUGUGUCUUAAAAAUGAUAUUAUCUUCUCACUAUGGUGUUGUCCAGGAAUCAGUUAGGACAAGAUUAUCAUUGCCUUUAAAUACAAGAAUAUGGAAAUAGCUUUACAUAUUGUCGUGGCCACUUCAUUUGAAUUAUGUGCAUUUUUGGUAUCACACUAUUACUUUUAAUUGUUUUUUAACAUCUUUUAAAAAUAAUGUAAUAUAAUUUAACUUUUCAAUG